rnacentral:rRNA from 1 species
UACGUAGGUGACAAGUGUUGUCCGGAUUUACUGGGCGUAAAGAGCGCGCAGGCGGUCGAUCAAGUCGAGUGUGAAAGCCCCCGGCUCAACUGGGGAGGGUCAUUCGAAACUGGUCGACUCGAAGGCAGGAGAGGGUAGUGGAAUUCCCGGUGUAGUGGUGAAAUGCGUAGAUAUCGGGAGGAACACCAGUGGCGAAGGCGACUACCUGGCCUGUUCUUGACGCUGAGGCGCGAAAGCUAGGGAGCAAACGGG